UGACUGCGUACCUUUUGUAUAAUGGGUCAGCGACUUAUAUUCUGUAGCAAGGUUAACCGAAUAGGGGAGCCGAAGGGAAACCGAGUCUUAACUGGGCGUUAAGUUGCAGGGUAUAGACCCGAAACCCGGUGAUCUAGCCAUGGGCAGGUUGAAGGUUGGGUAACACUAACUGGAGGACCGAACCGACUAAUGUUGAAAAAUUAGCGGAUGACUUGUGGCUGGGGGUGAAAGGCCAAUCAAACCGGGAGAUAGCUGGUUCUCCCCGAAAGCUAUUUAGGUAGCGCCUCGUGAAUUCAUCUCCGGGGGUAGAGCACUGUUUCGGCAAGGGGGUCAUCCCGACUUACCAACCCGAUGCAAACUGCGAAUACCGGAGAAUGUUAUCACGGGAGACACACGGCGGGUGCUAACGUCCGUCGUGAAGAGGGAAACAACCCAGACCGCCAGCUAAGGUCCCAAAGUCAUGGUUAAGUGGGAAACGAUGUGGGAAGGCCCAGACAGCCAGGAUGUUGGCUUAGAAGCAGCCAUCAUUUAAAGAAAGCGUAAUAGCUCACUGGUCGAGUCGGCCUGCGCGGAAGAUGUAACGGGGCUAAACCAUGCAC
rnacentral:rRNA from 1 species